GUAACGGCGAGUGAACCGGGAUGAGCUCAAAUUUAAAAUCUGGCGUCUUUCAGGCGUCCGAGUUGUAAUCUAUAGAGGCGUUUUCCGCGCCGGACCGCGUCCAAGUCUCUUGGAAUAGAGUAUCAAAGAGGGUGACAAUCCCGUACUUGACGCGACAACCGGUGCUCUGUGAUACGUUCUCAAUGAGUCGAGUUGUUUGGGAAUGCAGCUCUAAAUGGGUGGUAAAUUCCAUCUAAGGCUAAAUAUUGGCGAGAGACCGAUAGCGAACAAGUACCGUGAGGGAAAGAUGAAAAGCACUUUGGAAAGAGAGUUAAACAGCACGUGAAAUUGUUAAAAGGGAAACGAUUGAAGUCAGUCGUGUGAAAGGUAUUCAGCCGUCUCUGGCGGUGUAUUUGCCUUUCACGGGUCAACAUCAGUUUGAUCCGGUAGAAAAAGGCGGGAGGAAGGUGGCACCCUCGGGUGUGUUAUAGCCUCCUGUCAUAUGUGCCGGACCAGACUGAGGAACGCAGCUUGCCGCAAGGCCGGGGUUCGCCCACGUACAAGCUUAGGAUGUUGACAUAAUGGCUUUAAACGACCCGUC
rnacentral:rRNA from 1 species